AUGGGUGCGCACCGAGAGGGCCGAGGGACUAGCAGAAGAGAAGCUGCUGAGAACUCGGGACACCCAGAUGGCCGGGCGGAGGUUCCUGCAUACGGCGCGGCCUCGGCCACCUCGCCAAGGACCCCGGGAAGGGUCAAGCUUCCCGCGCCUGAGAACCCACCCGGGUGUUCUCGCGCCGCCCGGGUGCCUCCCUCCCUGGCCACCGCAUCACAGUCACCUGGGGGACCUCACCAAACCACAGGUGCCCGGGACCCGCCCCUCCCGGUUCUUUUAUGGAAGUCUCGCUUCCGGGAAGAGGUCAUCCUCCCUUCUUUAAGUCUGUGGCUCUCAGCACCCACAAGUGUGGGAAUUACCAGCACGCUGGGCAAAAAUCCGGGUGCUCAGGCCUGCCACGGACCUACCGGGUUUAUCCAUGAAAAACCUGCAAUGAUAUGCAGCAAAAUGUUAACAGUGUUUAUUUCUGCACUUAUUUGUGGGAGUUUCAUUGUCACCCAGGCUGGAGUGCAAUUAGCGCGAUCUCAGCUCACCGCAACUGCCGCCUCCCAGAUUCAAGCAAUUUUCCUGCCUCAGCCUCCCGAGUAGCUGGGAUUACAG
rnacentral:lncRNA from 1 species